rnacentral:misc_RNA from 1 species
UGUGCGGGCACCGGUCGGCCUAUGGAACCACUGUUGUGUGCUCCGUGCAUUACGUCGAAGGCAAAUACGCCCUCUAAUCGGUGUGGACUUGCNCGCACCGGUCGGGCUUGAUAUCUCAAGCCCGUAGCGACGGUACACCUAAUGUUUUCACCUAGGACGUGAAAGCGUUAGG